AACUAACAUUGGCGGCAGGCCUAACACAUGCAAGUCGAGCGAGGUUUAGAACCGAGCGGCGAACGGGUGCGUAAUACUUGGGAAUCUACCUAGGAGUGGGGGAUAACCGGCAGAAAUGCUGGAUAAUACCGCAUAAUCCAUAUUGGGAAAGCGCGCAGCGCUCUUAGAUGAGCCCAAGCCUGAUUAGCUAGUUGGUGAGGUAACGGCUCACCAAGGCGACGAUCAGUAGCUGGUCUUAGAGGAUGAUCAGCCACACUGGAACUGAGACACGGUCCAGACUCCUACGGGAGGCAGCAGUGGGGAAUCUUGCACAAUGGGGGCAACCCUGAUGCGGCCAUGCCGCGUGCGCGAUGACGGUCUUCGGAUUGUAAAGCGCUUUUGGCGGGGACGACGAUGACGGUACCCGCAGAAGAAGUCACGGCUAACUUCGUGCCAGCAGCCGCAGUAA
rnacentral:rRNA from 1 species